UCACUCUUGUUUCUCUUCAGAUCGUAUAAAUCUUUCGCCUUUUACUAAAGAUUUCCGUGGAGAGGAACGACAGGAGUUUAACUCAAUUUUUUGAUGCCCUGUUUCUGUGGGGUA
ensembl:snRNA U5 U5 spliceosomal RNA